AUUGAACGCUGGCGGAAUGCUUUACACAUGCAAGUCGAACGGUAGAGGGGGCAACCCCUUGAGAGUGGCGAACGGGUGAGUAAUAUAUCGGAACGUGCCCAGUCGUGGGGAUAACGUAGCGAAAGUUACGCUAAUACCGCAUACGAUCUACGGAUGAAAGCGGGGGACUCGCAAGAGCCUCGCGCGAUUGGAGCGGCCGAUAUCAGAUUAGGUAGUUGGUGGGGUAAAGGCUCACCAAGCCAACGAUCUGUAGCUGGUCUGAGAGGACGACCAGCCACACUGGAACUGAGACACGGUCCAGACUCCUACGGAGGCAGCAGUGGGAAUUUUGGACAAUGGACGCAAGUCUGAUCCAGCCAUUCCGCGUGCAGGAUGAAGGCCCU
rnacentral:rRNA from 1 species